UACGAGGGGGGCAAGCGUUGUUCGGAAUUAUUGGGCGUAAAGGGUGCGUAGGCGGUCUGACAAGUCUGAUGUGAAAUCUAUGGGCUCAACCCAUAGUCUGCAUCGGAAACUGUCGGGCUGGAGUAUGGGAGAGGUGAGUGGAAUUUCCGGUGGAGCGGUGAAAUGCGUAGAGAUCGGAAAGAACACCAACGGCGAAAGCACUCUGCUGGGCCGACACUGACACUGAGAGACGAAAGCUAGGGGAGCGAAUGGG
rnacentral:rRNA from 1 species